GGGCGGUUAGCUCAGCCGGUUAGAGCGCAUGCCUCACAUGCAUGAGGUCACAGGUUCGAGUCCUGUACCGCCCACCA
rnacentral:tRNA from 1 species